UACGUAGGGGGCUAGCGUUGUCCGGAAUCAUUGGGCGUAAAGAGCGUGUAGGCGGCCCGGUAAGUCCGCUGUAAAAGUCAAAGGCUCAACCUUUGAAUGUCAGUGGAUACUGCCGGGCUAGAGUCCGGAAGAGGCGAGUGGAACUCCUGGUGUAGCGGUGGAAUGCGCAGAUAUCAGGAAGCACACCAACGGCGAAGGCAGCUCGCUGGGACGGUACUGACGCUGAGACGCGAAAAGCUAGGGGGAGCGAAACAGGAUUAGAUACCCCU
rnacentral:rRNA from 1 species